CCUACGGGUGGCAGCAGUGAGGAAUAUUGGUCAAUGGGAGGAAUCCUGAACCAGCCAUGCCGCGUGCAUGACGACGGCUCUACGAGUUGUAAACUGCUUUUGUACCGGGGUAAAAUGCCUUACGUGUAGGGUUUUGAACGUCCGCUACGAAUAAGGCUCGGCUAACUCUGUGCCAGCAGCCGCGGUAAUACGGAGGAUCCGAGCGUUAUACGGAUUCCUUGGGUUUAAAGGGUGCGUAGGUUGUUUUAUAAGUUAGCCGUGAAAGACCGAUGCUCAACAUCGGGGCUGCCGCUAAAACUGUAGGACUAGAGAUCGGAUGCAGCAGGAGGAAUGUGUAGGGUAGCGGUGAAAUGCAUAGAUAUUACACGGAACACCGAUUGCGAAGGCAGCUUGCUAGGCCGGAUCUGACACUGAUGCACGAAAGCGUGGGGAUCGAACAGGAUUAGAUACCCUAGUAGUC
rnacentral:rRNA from 1 species